rnacentral:miRNA from 1 species
AGCGGGGUUCGGUGGGGAAGAGA